rnacentral:rRNA from 1 species
AGUGAACGCUGGCGGUAGGCCUAACACAUGCAAGUCGAACGGCAGCACAGUAAGAGCUUGCUCUUACGGGUGGCGAGUGGCGGACGGGUGAGGAAUACAUCGGAAUCUACUUUUUCGUGGGGGAUAACGUAGGGAAACUUACGCUAAUACCGCAUACGACCUACGGGUGAAAGCAGGGGAUCUUCGGACCUUGCGCGAUUGAAUGAGCCGAUGUCGGAUUAGCUAGUUGGCGGGGUAAAGGCCCACCAAGGCGACGAUCCGUAGCUGGUCUGAGAGGAUGAUCAGCCACACAGGAACUGAGACACGGUCCAGACUCCUACGGGAGGCAGCAGUGGGGAAUAUUGGACAAUGGGCGCAAGCCUGAUCCAGCCAUACCGCGUGGGUGAAGAAGGCCUUCGGGUUGUAAAGCCCUUUUGUUGGGAAAGAAAAGCAGCAGGUUAAUACCCCGCUGUUCUGACGGUACCCAAAGAAUAAGCACCGGCUAACUUCGUG